rnacentral:lncRNA from 1 species
GUUAUUAGAAGCAGAAUAUUGUGUUUAUAGAAGAUCAGACUAUUGAGAAUUUUAAAAAGAUUGAGAAGUCAAAGUCUAUCAUUAGAAAUUAUGUUGAUAUGGAUCUAGUGCCCCUACCAUGGUGAAUAAUGAUAACAAUGGAGAUGUAUAGGAAGAUGAUGGUAAUAUAGUUGAUUAGCCUAUACUUGAUAAUGAUGUGCUAGAUGAGCAAACCCCUCCAGUACCAUUAGUUGAGUCUCAAUUGAAAAAAUCUACUAGAGAGCAUUAUCCAUCCCAAAGAUAUUCUCCUCAUGAGUGUAUGAUGAUCACUGAUGAGAGCAAACCAGAAUGCUACCA